rnacentral:rRNA from 1 species
GACAGCAGUAGCCGCGGUAAUACGAAGGGUGCAAGCGUUACUCGGAAUUACUGGGCGUAAAGCGUGUGUAGGUGGUUGUUUAAGUCUGUCGUGAAAGCCCUGGGCUCAACCUGGGAAUUGCGAUGGAUACUGGGCGACUAGAGUGCGGUAGAGGAUAGUGGAAUUUCCGGUGUAGCAGUGAAAUGCGUAGAGAUCGGAAGGAACGUCUGUGGCGAAGGCGACUAUCUGGGCCAACACUGACACUGAGGCACGAAAGCGUGGGGAGCAAACAGGAUUAGAUACCCCAGUAGUCCCUGUCUCUUAUAC